CCUACGGGGGGCAGCAGUGGGGAAUAUUGCACAAUGGGGGAAACCCUGAUGCAGCGACGCCGCGUGAGUGAAGAAGUAAUUCGUUACGUAAAGCUCUAUCAGCAGGGAAGAAACACUGACCUUACGGUCAGCAGACGGUACCUGAGUAAGAAGCCCCGACUAACUACGUGCCAGCAGCCGCGGUAAUACGUAGGGGGCAAGCGUUAUCCGGAUUUACUGGGUGUAAAGGGAGCGUAGACGGUGCGCCAAGUCUGGAGUGAAAUGCCGCAGCUUAACUGCGGAACUGCUUUGGAAACUGGCGAACUAGAGUGCGGGAGGGGUAAGCGGAAUUCCUAGUGUAGCGGUGAAAUGCGUAGAUAUUAGGAGGAACACCGGUGGCGAAGGCGGCUUACUGGACCGUAACUGACGUUGAGGCUCGAAAGCGUGGGGGGCAAACAGGAUUAGAUACCCGGGUAGUC
rnacentral:rRNA from 1 species